rnacentral:rRNA from 1 species
CACGUAGGGUGCGAGCGUUGUCCGGAAUUAUUGGGCGUAAAGAGCUCGUAGGCGGUGUGUCACGUCGGCCGUGAAAACCUGCAGCUUAACUGUGGGCGUGCGGUCGAUACGGGGCAUCACUGGAGUUCGGCAGGGGGAGACUGGAAUUCCUGGUGUAGCGGUGAAAUGCGCAGAUAUCAGGAGGAACACCGGUGGCGAAGGCGGGUCUCUGGGCCGAUACUGACGCUGAGGAGCGAAAGCCAGGGGAGCAAACGGG